rnacentral:lncRNA from 1 species
AGCCUCAUCCUACUGCCUUACUAUUGGUCGUCGGCAACCGCUUUGUUAGUUAAUUGGAGAGACUGGAUGUCCAUCAGGGUCACGCUUGCAGGGCAACGAGAGGCAAAACAAGAGGGAAGACGACUUUCCUCCUGUGAGCCAAUGAGGCCAGCUGGACUACGCCGAGACAACUGGGAGAGGCGCGGGACUCGCCCGUUCCGCGGAACGCCGGGAAGGGGUCACCUCCUGAUGAAGUUUCCGGUUCCGGUGUCAGCGGCGGUUGAAUUGCCAUGGCAAUGCGGUGGGCGCGCGCUUGUCGUGUUGGUCUCUUGGGAGGUAGCGGGGCUAGGCCGGGCGGGUAUCCGCCUCUCCCAGCUUAGGUGAGCGUCCCCGGGCGCCUCCGGAGCGCCGCGGCCGCAUGCAGUUCGUCGUGGCGGGGAGCCGGAGCCUGACCGGGGUUCCAGCGCUCGGGCCGUAGCCUUGGCUCCUGGACUUUCCCUGGCUCCGCCGCCACGUGGGAGCUGAGGCUCUGGGGCUUCCGCCUCCGGCGCGCGAUUAUUUCUCUAGAACAGUUUUCAUUUUUAAAAUUUGUAAAGCGCUUUUGCCUGUGUGAUUUCCUCUGGGUUUUUUUUUUUUUUCUUCCUUUUUGUAGAGACGGAAUUGGCGGCGGGGGCGGGGGGUCGAUGUCUCACUUUUUUGCCCAGGCUGGUCUCGAACUCCUGGCUUCAAGGGAUCCUCCUGCCUCGGCCUCUUAAAGUGCUGGGAUUACAGGCGUGAGCCACCGCCCCCGGCCGCCUCUGAGUUUCCAGCCUCGUUGGCCCUCCAGCCUUUUAACCUGUUGGGCCUAGGAUCAGGAAAGGUUUGUUGAAUGGGGAACUAAGAAGUGAAUUCGUUCGUUCGACAAACGUUUCCUGAGCAGCCGCUGGGUGCUAGGCGCAGUGCCAGCGCGGAAUGUCCAGGGAGACCUGGUGCCCAAAGCUUGGACCCAUCGUGAGAAAUGAGAAGCAGAUACAAAGCAGUGUGGGAGUGCAGAGGAGACAAAGCAAGCCUCAUCAGGCCCAUUGCUUGCUCUGCUCUCCCUUGUACUUACCAGUGCUUGACAAUAUACAGUUAUUUACUAGCUUGGUUAUUGACUUCCUACCCAGCACUCAGUUUUAUUCACUGCUGUAUCCUCAGUGCCUAGGACGAUGCUUGGAACGUGAUUCAUUGAUUCCAGGUAAAUCAGAGGAACAAGCAACAUGAACAGAAAUAUGUAGAAAAAGCUAUUAUGCAGAAGCAUAAUUGUUGUUUCAGAAGUCCAGCAUCUGGUGCACUUAACAAUAGAGAAUAUAUUAAACUCUUUCC